UGUUUGUACCUCCUUCUUCCUCUGCUGGACUAUGGGUUUAUCUAAGAAGAACCAUCUCAUAAAUAUGCAAAUUACUUGAGUCUAUGGUGGUAAAUACAAGGAUUCCACACCCCUAAGACAACAUCUGGUCAGUGUCCUCUCCACAGUCAGAGAACACACUGCCCCUAAGGAUGGAAUGGAGCUGGAUCAUCCUCUUCCUCCUUUCAGUAACUACAGGUGUCCACUCUCAGGUCCAGCUGCAGCAGUCUGGGGCUGAGCUGGUGAGACCUGGGUCCUCAGUGAAGUUGUCCUGCAAGGCUUCUGGCUACACCUUCACCAGCUACUAUAUGAGCUGGGUGAUACAGAGACCUGGACAGGGGCUGGAGUGGAUUGGGUGGAUUUAUCCUGGAAAUGGUGAUACUAGCUACAAUCAGAAGUUCAAGGGCAAGGCCAAGUUAACUGCAGACAAAUCCUCCAGCACAGCCUACAUGGAGCUCAGCAGCCUGACAUCUGAGGACUCUGCUGUCUAUUACUGUGCGAGAGACACAGUGCUGCAACCACAUCCUGAAUGUCCAAUCCCAGGUUACCCUGAGUCUGGCCCUGGCCUCUUGCAGCCCUCGCAGACCCUCAGUCUGACCUGCAUUUUCUCUAGAUUUUCCUUGAGUACUUCUAAUAUAGGUGUGGGCUGGAUCCGUCAGCCCUUAGGGAAGGGUAUGCAGUGGCUGGCUAACAGUUGGUGGAAUGAUGAAAAGUACUACAACCCGACCCUGAAAAACCGGCUCACAAUCUCCAAGGACAGCUCCAAAAACCAGGUAUCCCUCAAGAUAACCAAUGUGGACACUGCAGAUAUUGCCACCUACUACUGUGCUUGGAGAGCACAUUGA